rnacentral:misc_RNA from 1 species
GAUGAAGAACGUAGCGAAAUGCGAUAAGUAAUGCGAAUUGCAGAAUUCAGUGAAUCAUCGAAUCUUUGAACGCACAUUGCGCCCGCUAGUAUUCUGGCGGGCAUGCCUGUCUGAGCGUCAUUUCAACCCUCGCCCCCGGCUUUUGCUGGGAGCGGUGUUGGGGAUCGGCCGCCCGUCACUGGGAGGCCGGCCCCGAAAUAGAGUGGCGACCACGCCGUGUGCUCCUCUGCGUAGUAGUAAAUCACCUCGCAGGCGGACAGCGGUGCGGCCUGCCGUAAAACCCCCAUCUCUUUCUGGUUGACCUCAGAUCAGGUAGGAAUACCCGCUGAACUUAAGCAUAUCAAUAAGCGGAGGA